AGCGGGGAUAGCUCAGUUGGGAGAGCGUCAAACUGAAGAUCUGAAGGUGUUCGAUCCACGUUCACCGCAUUAC
rnacentral:tRNA from 1 species